AGGAAAAGAAACCAACAGGGAUUGCCUUAGUAGCGGCGAGUGAAGCGGCAAAAGCUCAAAUUUGAAAUCUGGCUCUUUCAGAGUCCGAGUUGUAAUUUGAAGAAGGUAUCUUUGGGUCUGGCUCUUGUCUAUGUUUCUUGGAACAGAACGUCACAGAGGGUGAGAAUCCCGUGCGAUGAGAUGAUCCAGGCCUAUGUAAAGUUCCUUCGAAGAGUCGAGUUGUUUGGGAAUGCAGCUCUAAGUGGGUGGUAAAUUCCAUCUAAAGCUAAAUAUUGGCGAGAGACCGAUAGCGAACAAGUACAGUGAUGGAAAGAUGAAAAGAACUUUGAAAAGAGAGUGAAAAAGUACGUGAAAUUGUUGAAAGGGAAGGGCUUGAGAUCAGACUUGGUAUUUUGUAUGUUACUUCUUCGGGGGUGGCCUCUACAGUUUAUCGGGCCAGCAUCAGUUUGGGCGGUAGGAGAAUUGCGUUGGAAUGUGGCACGGCUUCGGUUGUGUGUUAUAGCCUUCGUCGAUACUGCCAGCCUAGACUGAGGACUGCGGUUUAUACCUAGGAUGUUGGCAUAAUGAUCUUAAGUCG
rnacentral:rRNA from 1 species